CUGCUUCUAUGGUAUCCAGCAGAUUUGUGGCAAUGGAUUAAAACUAGACAGUUGAAGGGGUUAUAGCCCACAACUUUGAUUUUGGUCCAUUUCACUGCCCUAGCAGCAUCUGUCAGGAAGGUGCAGGACACCUGGGUCAUCUAGUUUUAAUCUGUUGUCACAGAUGUGUCAGAACACAAACCCAGGACUUUAGGCAAUGUCACAAGGAUUUUUACAAAUCAUAUGCACACCAGUGUAACUGAUGCAGCUAAAGUUUCUUACGUAGUUUUAUGCAUGGAGGCAUCCAUAGGUUUUCAUUAAACACGUGCGUGGGCACGUAAGUGGCGUGUUUGCCUGAUGUCAGAAGUGAUACUACUUUUUCCUGAUACAGAAACAGCUAAAUCAAGAAACCCAGCAGAGCUUCUAAGAACAUUUGAGCUACACUCAGGGGCUCUACCAACACAGCUGUGAUCUGAACAUUUGUGUAGUACACUGCAUGUGGGAUGUCAAGAAGGCAAAUAACACAGCCCCUGCCUGAACUGGAGGGACUUGCACCCACAUUGUCCCGCUCAGGGAUAAGAAAAUUGAAUCUAAACCUCCAGCUGUCUACGAUUGCACAGAAGGAGUCACAAAACUGAAGGACAAAACUCUGACUAAUUGAAAAUUCCGACUAUCAUCGUUUUUCUUGACUCAAGAACUGAAAAAAGGAUUCAUGCCUUUUAGUGUCAAAAAGGUUGGAAUCUGCCUGUAGCCCUCAGAAGAUAAGAAUAGCACACUGAAGCAUGGUACACAUUUCUCUCUAGAGCUGAUUUUCUUGUUUGCAUCUCUUCUUUUCAUUCUAUCUUGACCCUUUAUGUUGUUCCUCUGAUGUCCAUGACACUGUUCUUAGAGCUCUUUUAUGGAUUUAGAGAGAAUGGAAAAGCCUGAAGCAACUUGUUGGCAGUAGGCAUAAGUGAUGGAUUUGAAAAGCAGAAAGGUUAGAAAACUAAAUGGUAUAUAUAACUAAAACUUAUGAGCAGUAGAGGGUUGCUUGCCCUCUGCCCUUGCAAGUGGGAUGGAGGUGACUGUAAAAGCAAAACAAUAUAAAUUAAAGGUUAAAUUGUACUGAAAAAAACAUUGUUUCAAAUCUACUUUUUGCAAACAGACCAAAAAGCUUUUCUCAUCAUAAAUUAGACCUUUUUUUUUUUUUUUUUUUUUUUCUGUAAGAGUCUCAGAAGUAUCUAUUUACACUCCAACCUUCUAAUGCAUAAUGCACAAGUCUCAGAA
rnacentral:lncRNA from 1 species